AUUGAACGCUGGCGGCAGGCCUAACACAUGCAAGUCGAGCGGAUGAAGGGAGCUUGCUCCUGGAUUCAGCGGCGGACGGGUGAGUAAUGCCUAGGAAUCUGCCUGGUAGUGGGGGAUAACGUCCGGAAACGGGCGCUAAUACCGCAUACGUCCUGAGGGAGAAAGUGGGGGAUCUUCGGACCUCACGCUAUCAGAUGAGCCUAGGUCGGAUUAGCUAGUUGGUGGGGUAAAGGCCUACCAAGGCGACGAUCCGUAACUGGUCUGAGAGGAUGAUCAGUCACACUGGAGCUUAGACACGGUCCUGACUCCUACGGGAGGCAGCAGUGGGGAAUUUUGGACGAUAGGCGAGAGCCUGAUCCAAGCGUGCCGCGUGUGUGAAGAAGGUCUUCGGAUUGUAAAGCACUUUAAGUUGGGAAGAAGGGCAGUAGGUUAAUACCUUGCUGUUUUGACGUUACCAACAGAAUAAGCACCGGCUAACUUCGUG
rnacentral:rRNA from 1 species